rnacentral:rRNA from 1 species
GACGAACCGUGCGAACGUUGUUCGGAAUCACUGGGCGUAAAGGGCGCGUAGGCGGCUCGCCGAGUCCGGGGUGAAAGCCCCCAGCUUAACUGGGGAAGGGCCUCGGAGACCGGCGGGCUGGAGGGAGGUAGGGGCAGCGGGAACUUCGGGUGGAGCGGUGAAAUGCGUUGAUAUCCGAAGGAACGCCGGUGGCGAAAGCGCGCUGCUGGACCUCUUCUGACGCUGAGGCGCGAAAGCCAGGGGAGCAAACGGG